rnacentral:rRNA from 1 species
UACGUAGGGGGCAAGCGUUAUCCGGAUUUACUGGGUGUAAAGGGAGCGUAGGUGGCAUGGUAAGCCAGAAGUGAAAACCCGGGGCCCAACCCCGCGGAUUGCUUUUGGAACUAUCAGGCUGGAGUGCUGGAGGGGUAAGCGGAAUUCCUAGUGUAGCGGUGAAAUGCGUAGAUAUUAGGAGAAACACCGGUGGCGAAGGCGGCUUACUGGACAGAAACUGACACUGAGGCUCGAAAGCGUGGGGAGCAAACAGG